UACAGAGGGGGCAAGCGUUGUUCGGAAUUACUGGGCGUAAAGCGUGCGCAGGCGGUUUUGUAAGUCUGUCGUGAAAUCCCCGGGCUCAACCUGGGAAUUGCGAUGGAGACUGCAAGGCUAGAAUCUGGCAGAGGGGGGUAGAAUUCCACGUGUAGCAGUGAAAUGCGUAGAGAUGUGGAGGAACACCGAUGGCGAAGGCAGCCCCCUGGGUCAAGAUUGACGCUCAUGCACGAAAGCGUGGGGAGCAAACAGG
rnacentral:rRNA from 1 species